UCGUGCUAGGUGGGGAACUAGCGGUGCCCUGAACUCGCAAUCCGCUACAGCGAGGCUGAAUGCUGAUUUGAGGUCUAUCUUUUUCAAGGCUGGCUCAGGAAAGUGGCGAUGAAGGCUGGGUCCUGCUCAACUUAACAUUGCUGAACCCCGUCAGGUCCGGGAGGAAGCAGCGGUAGGCAACCUGGAGAGUGUGCUGCAGGGUUGCCUGGCUGGAGCUAACUACUUGAGUAUCGCUUGGGGGAGAAGAUCGAGAUCAGAUGCACGA
rnacentral:SRP_RNA from 1 species